rnacentral:lncRNA from 10 species
AGUUCCCUAGGAGAGUGGAAGCUCUGCCCUAGAGUUUCCAGCCUUGUUUGAGCUCAUUGUCAAGCUAUACUCUUGCAAUCAGGUUCUGCUUCUGCUCCUCGCAAACAUUCAGGACAAAGGUAACCGAUGUGAUUCUCCUCAAGGGCCAGAUCCAGGAAAAGCUGAUUUAUUACUCAAAGAUAGGCAUCAAGGAUAAACAGAAGCUUAAGAUCCAUGUCUAUGCAAACCUGCCCCAAAGUCCAAGGAAGCUGAGAGGCUGAAAAAAAAGGUUGACAAAUCCAGUUUCUUGGAAAGAAACAUUGGGAGUCCAAGAUGACAAAUUGAAAAUCCACAGCAAUGUGUCCAAUGUCACAACAUCAAGUUUGUAUUCUAAAGACUGAUGUAAUCUACUUUGUGUCUGAAAAGUGGGAAAAUACCACAAGUGCUUAGCAUCCGGAUGGAUAAUUUGUGAUAAUUAUCAGAGAAAUGUAAUAUGCAAUCUUGUCUUCAAGAAAAUUCCAGUUGAAUGAGGAGGUAACAUCCUUCCCCAGAAUGGUAUAAGAACAAUGAAAGGGGCUUUAUUUCAAGUGUAAACACAGAGAAUUGGACUCAGUCCAGAGAGCUCUGACAGUGACCAGCUUUGAUAGUCUUGGGGAAGGCCAUGGCAGGUUUGAGCAUGACAGUCUCGGCCCAUCAGUGAUCUUCAGAGCCGAACAUGUUACUUCUUUUCAGAGGUCAAAAUAUGUAUUCACCUGCUGAUCAGCCAAGUUCUUGAAGACCUGCCCUGGAAGUGGGUUUGCAGGCAAUUUAACAGGAGCAAGUGCUUGAUAAACAUGUCCAUUGAUAGAUGGAUUGUGUUUGCUGAGAAUAGAGGCUGGUUAAAGAAAGUACAUUUGGCUUCAACUCUAUUCCCAAGGACUGUCAGUCUAGGAGACCCCAUCCAGGAACUUGCAGAAGAGGAGGAUCUACUGUGACAGGUCAUUAUCAAGGGGCACCAAUGCUGCAGGUCAGCACUCAAUAAAUAUGUCCAGCACUGCUAGCAGGUUUGCAAGAAGAGCAAAUACUCCUGAAGAACAAGCAAUAAAAUGGAUAUUUUUAUACUACUUUAUUUUUAUUAAUAAUCAUAAUAAUAGGUGCUCCUUGUGAAGAAAAUUCUGUUCUAGGCAGAGUUCUAGACACUUUAUAGUUAACAAAAUGCAUUCAUAAGCUUUCCUCAUUUCAUUCCACAAAUACCCUAUGACUUAGGCAGGAUAAAUAAUAAUGAUUUUGUAUAACAGAUAAGGAAAUGGAGGCAUUAGUUUUCU